rnacentral:rRNA from 1 species
ACACUGUUCAUGGGUUACCGCGGCUGCUGGCACGGAGUUAGCCGGUGCUUCUUCUGUGAGUGAUGUCCUUCCUGCCGGUUAUUGACCCGCAGGCCUUCUUCCUCACUGAAAGUGCUUUACAACCCGAAGGCCUUCUUCACACACGCGGCAUGGCUGGAUCAGGGUUGCCCCCAUUGUCCAAUAUUCCCCACUGCUGCCUCCCGUAGGAGUCUGGGCCGUGUCUCAGUCCCAGUGUGGCUGAUCAUCCUCUCAGACCAGCUACGGAUCGUCGCCUUGGUGAGCCGUUACCUCACCAACCAGCUAAUCCGACAUAGGCUCAUCCGAUAGCGCGAGGCCCGAAGGUCCCCCGCUUUCCCCCGUAGGGCGUAUGCGGUAUUAGCCUGGGUUUCCCCAGGUUAUCCCCACUACCGGGCAGAUUCCUAUGCAUUACUCACCCGUCCGCCGCUCGCCACCAGGGAGCCAAGCUCCCCGUGCUGCCGCUCGACUUGCAUGUGUUAGGCCUGCCGCCAGCGUUCAAUCU